GGGUGAGGUUUUGGAAUUUGUGUCAAAUGUUCGGACUCCUUUGUGUUUUUCCAUACAAUACAAUGUAAAAUAGUUUGCCCCAUAACACCCAUUUAUUUUUUCAUAUAAAACUUAAUAGCUCAUGAAAGGUCCUUUACCAAAAUUUAAAAAGAUUCUUAAUUUUCUUUCUUUUGUUUUGAGACCUAAUAAUACCAAUGCAAAUAUAAGGUAAAAGUCUGAGUCAGCCUUUUCCCGCCAUAUUUUAAAUCUCAA
rnacentral:lncRNA from 1 species